GGUAGGGGGGUGGUAAACUGUUGGCCUUUUUGUGGGGGGGGGGGGCUCGGAGGGAUCAUUACCGAGUUUACAACUCCCAAACCCAAUGUGAACGUUACCAAACUGUUGCCUCGGCGGGAUCUCUGCCCCGGGUGCGUCGCAGCCCCGGACCAAGGCGCCCGCCGGAGGACCAACCAAAACUCUUUUUGUAUACCCCCUCGCGGGUUUUUUUAUAAUCUGAGCCUUCUCGGCGCCUCUCGUAGGCGUUUCGAAAAUGAAUCAAAACUUUCAACAACGGAUCUCUUGGUUCUGGCAUCGAUGAAGAACGCAGCGAAAUGCGAUAAGUAAUGUGAAUUGCAGAAUUCAGUGAAUCAUCGAAUCUUUGAACGCACAUUGCGCCCGCCAGUAUUCUGGCGGGCAUGCCUGUCCGAGCGUCAUUUCAACCCUCGAACCCCUCCGGGGGGUCGGCGUUGGGGAUCGGCCCUGCCUCUUGGCGGCGGCCGUCUCCGAAAUACAGUGGCGGUCUCGCCGCAGCCUCUCCUGCGCAGUAGUUUGCACACUCGCAUCGGGAGCGCGGCGCGUCCACAGCCGUUAAACACCCAACUUCUGAAAUGUGACCUCGGAUCAGUAGGAAUCCCGAUUC
rnacentral:rRNA from 1 species